rnacentral:misc_RNA from 1 species
CAAAAUUAUGAGAUUGCUAUAAAAGUAUCAGAUGCAAUUGUCUGAAAUAUAAGGGUCUGAUGUAAAGCAGAUGAUAACAACCGCAACGUUUACGAAAGCAAUUAAGCUCUUAGAAACACCAGCUAAUUUUCUGUUUCUUAGUAGUGCUCAAAUUCUUAGUUGCUAACACUUGCAGCUCGUUACACUUUUAAAUUGCGUGCUUAUUCAACUUCAAUGAAUGACAACCUUCUCUUCCUUCGCUUCAUCUACUUGUGACCACUCAUAUGUUGUUGAUGAUUCUGCACAGUACUCUGGAGGUGUACUUGGAGAAAAUAGCGAGGGUUUUGGUGGAAUUUGCAAGGAUUGUGGAUUGCCUUCCAACAUCUCUAUCACCUUUGUCAUUGAUGGUCUAUCUGACGGAUUGGUUUGAAUGCACCACAAGCCCACAGUGAUCAUUCUUCUGACUGUUUCUUCUUCCUCAACUGUAAUAUUCUCAUUAAGUACAAAAUUCUGUCGCAAUUCAAUGUGCUUAUAAAUCCAGUCAGG